GACAGAGGGUGCAAACGUUGCUCGGAAUCACUGGGCGUAAAGGGCGUGUAGGCGGGUGGAUAAGUCAGACGUGAAAUCCCCAGGCUCAACCUGGGAAUUGCAUUUGAAACUGUCCAUUUUGAGUGUCGGAGAGGAAAGCGGAAUUCCUGGUGUAGAGGUGAAAUUCGUAGAUAUCAGGAGGAACACCGGUGGCGAAGGCGGCUUUCUGGACGACAACUGACGCUGAGACGCGAAAGCGUGGGGAGCGAACAGG
rnacentral:rRNA from 1 species